GGUUGUGGCUUAGUGGUAGAGUGCUUGCCUGGCAUGCAUGAGGCACUGGGUUUGAUCCCUGGCACCA
rnacentral:tRNA from 1 species